GGAGACGGCCAGACAGUCGCUGCGGCUUCGCCGUGGAGGAAAGUCCGGGCUCCGCAGGGCAGGGUGCCAGGUAACGCCUGGGGGGCGUGAGCCCACGGAAAGUGCCACAGAAAACAUACCGCCUAAGCGCUUCGGCGCCGGCAAGGGUGAAAAGGUGCGGUAAGAGCGCACCGCGCGGGUGGCAACACGCCGCGGCACGGUAAACCCCACCCGGAGCAAGACCAAAUAGGGGAACUCGCGGCCGUGUGCCGCUGCGUGCUGCCCGCACGUGUUCCCGGGUAGGUCGCUUGAGACGCGCGGCGACGCGUGGUCCAGAUGAAUGGCUGUUCUAGACAGAACCCGGCUUAUCGGCCGUCUCCUUUU
rnacentral:RNase_P_RNA from 1 species